ACUCCUACGGGAGGCACAGUGGGAAUAUUGCACAAUGGGCGCAAGCCUGAUGCAGCCAUGCCGCGUGUAUGAAGAAGGCCUUCGGGUUGUAAAAGUACUUUCAGCAGUGAGGAAAGGGCGGGUACGUUAAUAGCGUGCUCGUUUGACGUUAGCUGCAGAAGAAGCACCGGCUAACUCCGUGCCAGCAGCCGCGGUAAUACGGAGGGUGCGAGCGUUAAUCGGAAUUACUGGGCGUAAAGCGCAUGCAGGUGGUUUGUUAAGUCAGAUGUGAAAGCCCGGGGCUUAAGCCUACGGAAUAGCAUUUGAAACUGGCAGACUAGAGUACU
rnacentral:rRNA from 1 species